UGCCGUGAUCGUGGUCUGC
rnacentral:siRNA from 1 species